UCUGGAGCUUCUGGCGGGUCUUAAAAGUUGUAUGCGGUCUUGUGUUGUCAUGGAGCAGCAACAA
ensembl:ncRNA M03D4.75 ncRNA